GGCUUGGUAAGCCGAGAUGGCCUAGCGGCAGCGGUCUUGAAAACCGAGGGUUCACGGAAGUGGACGUGUGAGUUCGAGUCUCACCCAAUCCGCCA
rnacentral:tRNA from 4 species